UUUUUAUUAGACGAUGAUUAUCACGUGUCAUGUUUUGAUUGGUCACUGAAAAAAGCAGUCAUUAUCCAAUAAGAACGUGACACGUGACCGUCAAUAUCA
rfam:Glycine soja cultivar W05 scaffold3181_7, whole genome shotgun sequence.